rnacentral:lncRNA from 1 species
AAGAAGUCAGGCCGGAUUAAGCCAUAGCACGGUAAGAGCUAUGCUGCCUGUGAGCCCCGUCUAAGGACGUAAAAUGAAGUCAGGCCGAAAGCCACGGCUUGAGCAAACCGUGCUGCCUGUAGCUCCGCCAAUAACGGGAGGCGUAAUAAUCCCGGGGAGGCCAUGCGCCACGGAAGCUGUACGCGUGGCAUAUUGGACUAGCGGUUAGAGGAGACCCCUCCCGAAACAUAACGCAGCAGCGGGGCCCAACACCAG